GGCCUUGGCGGCGGUGCUCUGCAGGCAGUGCCUCCCUCGGGCGUGGGUCUGCAGGAGAGCCGGACAGGGCAGCGGCUGGCACUACCGCGCCGCGAUUUGCGCAGAGCUGAAGAAGCCCCUGACCGUUGAAGAGGUGGCCCCCUCCCCGUCGGGCCUCACGAGGUCAGAGUUGAUGUCCAUUUCUGUGGAGUUAACUUUGGUGAUAUUUUGAUCUGCCGUGGUCAAUAUCAGGAAAGGCCCCAUCUUCCCUUCACACCUGGAAUGGAGUUUUCUGGGACAGUAUUGGAGACAGGCACAGACGUCAGCACAGUUAAAGAGGGAGAUAGAGUUAUUGGCAUAAGAAACUUUAGUUGUAUGGCUGAAGAAUGCGUCACUGACCUGAAGGACCCGUGGCAGAUUCCAGAAAAGGUCUUCCUAUAAGAAGCUGCUGUCCUCCUUAUAACUUACGGCACUGCGAUUUUUGCUCUUGAGCAUCAGGCCCGUACCCAGCCUGAGUAAUAUAGCUGCUGCUGGAAGUGACGAGAAGUGCAAGCCGGUGAUGCAGAGGGGUGCGCAGUCCAGCAUGAACUACAGUCAGGGCAGCCUGAAGGAUGCACAAGGAGAAGUGCUGGGGAAAGCCCCUUAUAAAACCAUCAGAUCUUUUGAGAACCGACUCACUAUCAUGAGAACAGCAUGAAGCCUGGCAUGGGAGGGCAGGAUUGUGGUGGUGGGAUUUGCUGGAGGAAACAUUGCUUCUGUACCAGCCAACCUUCUGCUCCUGAAGAAUAUCUCUGCUAUGGGCCUGUACUGUGGUCAACACAAAGAAAUGAACUUUCCUGUCUUCUCCAAGAGCCUAUCUUCAGUGCUUCAGUACUGCCAGCAAGGGUGCAUCCAGCCAUAUGUUGGAAUGGUUUUCAAGCUGGAUGAGAUGCCUUCCUUCAUGUGAUACAGGGGAAAUCCAUGGGCAAGGUGCUUCUCACUCUUAAAUAAAUCCUUGCCUGAGCAGCAAAGUUAACAUGUCCAGAUCAAAACUCCACAUCUUUCCCCAAAACCCGAUUUCCCUUCUGUGUUUCCAAAGGUGUUACCACUUUCCUUACUAAUCCAGGUUUAAAAUCUUGGAGUCACCUUUGAUUCUGUUUACUAAUUGCUCCUAAUGAAUAUGAUUAUAUAGUUUAUUGUCCAAACCUUUUUGAGAGUAAAAGGGUGCCAUUAGUAAUUACAUCACGAAAACAUAUCCCAGGCAAACCAGGAUAUAUGGUCAGCCUACUUGAUGCAUUAUGAAAUGCAGUGAUUGCCGAGUUCUGUCAUUCCCACCUCUAAGAUAUCUCUCACAUCCAUAUCCUCUUUUCCAUUCUGACUAAUUAAGCCUCAACUGCUAUCACCAGUGACCUUCUAACUGCUUUUCCUACCUUUAAACUACUCUCACCCCCUCCAUCCUUGUGAUGCAUUAUUGCCAUGGUGAUCUUCUCGAAGCAUAGCUCUGACUAUGGCCCAUCUCAGAAAACCUACAGUGGCUCACCAUUGCCUGAUGGUGGAGUUCAGACCCCUUGAGCUAGCAUUUCAUUAUGACCCUGAUUUUUCCCCGCACCACUUUCCAGCCUUGUGGUCCACAAUUCCACUGGGCCGUAAGUAUGUACUGAACUUUCCUGCCUCCCUCAUUUUGCUCUGCUUGUGCAAUUUUUUCCACCCUUCAUCUCUGUCAAACAUAAGCCUUCCAGACCUCUAAGACCUACCUUUGUCAUGUACCUUUACCCUCAGGCAAGGAGCAAUCUCUUCUCUUCCUCUUCUACCUUGCUGUAGCUUCUCCCCCAGGAUUUAUCACGUUCUGCCUUGAAGCAUAGGGAACAGCAUGUGUAGUGGAAUAGACACAGGCCUCUGAAUCCAAGAUAUGAGUUUAAAUCCCAGCUUUGGAGGUGGUUACUUAAGGUCUCAGUGCCUUCAUUCUUCUUCCUAUAUAAAGUAGAUAUUACAAUAUCUAACUUACAGAGUCAUUGGGAACUACACAUGCAGCAAUUGGGUAAAGCACCUGGCACAUGGCAAGUGAUUAGCAAAUGCUGGUUACUUCUACUUCUUUCUCUUCCCUUUUCCCAGUCUAUCAUAAGUUCCUUGAGAGGAGGCACCAUGUCUGAUUUACCCUUGUAUUUCUCGCAGUACUUCCCAUAGUGAGUUACCCUUAGUAAAUACUCGUAAGUUGAAUUGAAUUUAAAUUACCUGUAAGUCUUAAAAUGUGGGAUUAAAUUAAGAAUAUGUUGCCCUGGAAAUACCCAAAUGUCUAUCGAUGGAUGAAUGCAUAAACAAAAUGUGGUAUACACAUAAUGGAAUAUUAUUCAGCCUUAAAAAGGAAUGAAAUUCUGACAUGUGCUACAAUAUGAUGAACCUGGAAGACAUUAUAUGUGAAUAAGCCAGACAGAAAAGGACAAAUACCAUAUGAUUCCACUUAUAUGAAGUACCUAGAGUAGUGAAAUUCAUAGAAACAGAAAGUACAGGUUGAAAUCCAAAAUCUGAAAUAGGAAAUGCUCCAAAAUCUGAAACUUUUUCGAUGCCGACACGAUGCUCAAAGAAAAUGCUAAUUGGAGCAUUUCAGAUUUUGGAUUUUUGGAUUUGGGUUGCUCAACUGGCAUAAUGUGAAUAUUCCAAACUCUGAAAAAAUCAAGUCUAAAACACUUCUGGUCUCAAGAAUUUUGGAUAAAGGAUACUCAAUGUGCAACAUGUAGAAUGAUGGUUGCAAGGUGGGAGGAGAGAAUGGAGAGUUACUGUUUAAUGGUACAAUGUUUCCGUUUGGGAAGAUGGAAAGUUUUGGAGGUGUGUGAUGGUUAUGGUUGUGCAACAGUGGGAAGGUACUUAGUACUGCUUAACUGUGCGCACUUAAAAAUGGUAAAAAUGAUAAAUUUUGUGUAUGUCUUACAACAAUAAAAGAAGUUUUUAAAAAAA
rnacentral:sRNA from 1 species